rnacentral:tRNA from 1 species
UUCCUGGAGGACUAGUGGUUGAGGCCUCGGAGCUCUCACCACCACAGUCUGGGUUCGAUUCCCGGCCAGAGAC